rnacentral:rRNA from 1 species
UACGUAGGGUGCAAGCGUUGUCCGGAAUUAUUGGGCGUAAAGAGCUCGUAGGCGGUCUGUCGCGUCUGCUGUGAAAACUCAGGGCUUAACCCUGAGCUUGCAGUGGGUACGGGCAGACUAGAGUGCGGUAGGGGAGACUGGAAUUCCUGGUGUAGCGGUGAAAUGCGCAGAUAUCAGGAGGAACACCGGUGGCGAAGGCGGUUCUCUGGGAAUGUACUGACGCUGGAGGAGCGAAAGCGUGGGGAGCAAACAGG